UGGGGAAUAUUGGACAAUGGGCGCAAGCCUGAUCCAGCCAUGCCGCGUGUGUGAAGAAGGCCUUUGGGUUGUAAAGCACUUUAAGCGAGGAGGAGGCUACUUGGAUUAAUACUCUAGGAUAGUGGACGUUACUCGCAGAAUAAGCACCGGCUAACUCUGUGCCAGCAGCCGCGGUAAUACAGAGGGUGCGAGCGUUAAUCGGAUUUACUGGGCGUAAAGCGUGCGUAGGCGGCUUCUUAAGUCGGAUUUGAAAUCCCUGAGCUUAACUUAGGAAUUGCAUUGGAUACUGGGAAGCUAGAGUAUGGGAGAGGAUGGUAGAAUUCCAUGUGUAGCGGUGAAAUGCGUAGAGAUCUGGAGGAAUACCGAUGGCGAAGGCAGCCAUCUGGCCUAAUACUGACGCUGAGGUACGGAAGCAUGGGGAGCGAACAGG
rnacentral:rRNA from 1 species